AUUGAACGCUGGCGGCAUGCUUUACACAUGCAAGUCGAACGGUAACAGGCCGCAAGGUGCUGACGAGUGGCGAACGGGUGAGUAAUGCAUCGGAACGUGCCCAGUCGUGGGGGAUAACUACUCGAAAGAGUAGCUAAUACCGCAUACGAUCUAUGGAUGAAAGCGGGGACCGUAUGGCCUCGCGCGAUUGGAGCGGCCGAUGUCAGAUUAGGUAGUUGGUGGGGUAAAGGCUCACCAAGCCAACGAUCUGUAGCUGGUCUGAGAGGACGACCAGCCACACUGGGACUGAGACACGGCCCAGACUCCUACGGGAGGCAGCAGUGGGGAAUUUUGGACAAUGGGCGCAAGCCUGAUCCAGCAAUGCCGCGUGCAGGAAGAAGGCCUUCGGGUUGUAAACUGCUUUUGUACGGAACGAAACGGCUCUGGUUAAUACCCGGGGCUAAUGACGGUACCGUAAGAAUAAGCACCGGCUAACUACGUG
rnacentral:rRNA from 1 species